GAACGAACGCUGGCGGCAUGCCUAACACAUGCAAGUCGAACGAGACCUUCGGGUCUAGUGGCGCACGGGUGCGUAACGCGUGGGAACCUGCCUUUAGGUUCGGAAUAACAGUGAGAAAUUACUGCUAAUACCGGAUGAUGUCUUCGGACCAAAGAUUUAUCGCCUUUAGAUGGGCCCGCGUUGGAUUAGCUAGUUGGUGGGGUAAAGGCCUACCAAGGCGACGAUCCAUAGCNGGUUCUGAGAGGAUGAUCAGCCACACUGGGACUGAGACACGGCCCAGACUCCUACGGGAGGCAGCAGUGGGGAAUAUUGGACAAUGGGCGAAAGCCUGAUCCAGCAAUGCCGCGUGAGUGAUGAAGGCCUUAGGGUUGUAAAGCUCUUUUACCCGAGAUGAUAAUGACAGUAUCGGGAGAAUAAGCUCCGGCUAACUCCGUG
rnacentral:rRNA from 1 species